GAUGAACGCUGGCGGCAUGCCUUACACAUGCAAGUCGGACGGGAAGUGGUGUUUCCAGUGGCGGUCGGGUGAGUAACGCGUAAGAACCUGCCCUGGGGAGGGGAACAACAUCUGGAAACGGCUGCUAAUACCCCGCAGGCUGAGGAGCGAAAGGAGGAAUCCGCCCAAGGAGGGGCUCGCGUCUGAUUAGCUAGCUGGUGCAGUAAUAGCUUACCAAGGCCGUGAUCAGUAGCUGGUCCGAGAGGGCGAUCAGCCACACUGGGACGGAGACAAGGACCAGGGUCCUUCGGGAGACAGCAGUAGGGAAGUUUCCGCAAUGGGGGAAAGCCUGACAGAGCAAUGCGGCCGGAAGGCAAAGGGACUACGGGUCAUGAAAUGCGUUACCUGGAGAAGAAAUAAUGACGGUAUCUGGGGAAUAAGCAUCGGCUAACUCCGUG
rnacentral:rRNA from 1 species